AACGAACGCUGGCGGCAUGCCUAACACAUGCAAGUCGAACGAGACCUUCGGGUCUAGUGGCGCACGGGUGCGUAACGCGUGGUAACCUGCCCUUAGGUUCGGAAUAACUCCCCGAAAGGGGUGCUAAUACCGGAUAAUGUCUUCGGACCAAAGAUUUAUCGCCUUUGGAUGGGCCCGCGUUGGAUUAGCUAGUUGGUAGGGUAAAAGCCUACCAAGGCGACGAUCCAUAGCUGGUCUGAGAGGAUGAUCAGCCACACUGGGACUGAGACACGGCCCAGACUCCUACGGGAGGCAGCAGUGGGGAAUAUUGGACAAGGGGCGAAAGCCUGACCCAGCAAUGCCGCGUGAGUGAUGAAGGCCUUAGGGUUGUAAAGCUCUUUUACCCGGGAUGAUAAUGACAGUACCGGGAGAAUAAGCUCCGGCUAACUCCGUG
rnacentral:rRNA from 1 species